rnacentral:lncRNA from 1 species
GGUGGCAUGGUGGAUAUACUUACCUGGGUGGUAUGGCAGAGAUGAAAUUUUAAGCAACCUGGUGCGCUCAGAAAUUUUGUUGAAUGUCAGUGCUUUGACGAUGUGAUCUGGGUAUGCUGGCCUGGGCAAAUCGCUGGGCAAAUUGCUGGGCAUAUCGCUUAGUGCGUCACUGGGCACAUCGCUGGUGAAAUCAGUAGGCACAUCGUUGGGCACAGCGUGUGGCACAUUGCUGGGCGCAGCACUUGGCAGAUCCUUGGUCAUAUCAGUGGGCAUAUCAGCGCUUGGCAUAGCGCUUGUCAUAGUGCUUUGCACAUUGCUGGGCGCAUCAGUAGUCGUGUCCAUGGGCACAUCAGUGGUGGAAUCGGUGGGCACAUCACAUGGCAGAUCCGUGGGCGCAUCAGUUUCUUUGGCGAUGGUAGGUUCCGACUCUGGCUCUGACCUCGGUGGCGACUGAGUUCUUGGCCGUUUCUAGCUGUGGCCGGUGGGAGUGGUGGCUUCGGGUAACUUUUUGCCCUCAGGGUCUGCCGUCGGGGCUAUUGUGGAUGGCGGCGUUCUUUGCCGUUUCGUUUGCCGGCGAUAUAUCUGGACGGCCGGUGAGUCGGUGCGUCCUGUUUCUGUACUUGUGGCCGGUGGUGUCUCGGUGUUGGUGGUGGUUGUUGGUGGUGUGUCCCACGCUUCAUCGUCACUGUCAGAGGGGCUGGGUGGUCUGGGUAACCCUAAUUUCUUCCACAUGAAUGGGCCGCCGGUGGCCCUCAUCUUGAUUCUUACCAUGGUGGUCCUGAGUUUGCCGGUGGGUGAAUGGUGGUCGGAGAGAAGAAAGCUUGAAGAAGAGGAAGAGAUAAAAAACAGUAGUUUAGCGUAAAAAUUAAAAAUAAAAGAAAAGACUACUUAAAGUGAUUAGGGAAUGUGAUCUGCCCUGAUCAUUAAAUGCUGGCCCUCUGGAUUUUUGACAGGGUGAUUUGCCCAGUGAUUUGGGUAAGCAGUGGGCAAAUCACUUGGUCAGACCGCUUCUCCUUUGCAGGUGCUGGGCUGGUACUGUUCACGCC